rnacentral:misc_RNA from 1 species
UCGAGUUUCUGGUGGGAGUGAGUCGUCUAGCACGAGCAGAGAGGUUCGGGGAGAUGUGGUGGGGGCAAGUCAACAGCCGAUGGUGGGGAUGGAAUACCGGGUAGCGCGAGAGGGAAGCCGAUAGCGAGAGCAGGAGAGAGUUAGAUGGUGGAGAGGGAGCGAGAGGCCGCCGAAAGCGCAUAGCGGCCCAUAAUUCGGUGCGCCGCCCCGCAAUCAGGUUCGUGCUCGAUGUUUCUAACCGCCUCGCUCGUCGCAACCGGGAGAGAGAGACGGUAGUGCACGUUUUUACGUUUGUUCGUCAGCUACGUUUGACUAAGUACAGUCCGGGAUAGAACGGAGCACGUCUCGCGCGCUCUAUUUUUCUAUAUUUUUUUGUUCUCUUUUCUCGGUUUACCCGUUCUUUUCCACGGCGGAUCGUAAUCUCGUCGCUCGCGCGUCCCUCUUGUUUAUUUGUCCGAUAGAUACGCGGCUGACAGAGACGCUAUUCUCUCGGGAAUCUUUAGUUUAUACAUAUUUCGUAUCGUCGUGUGGAAAAGCCGGAAAGGCUUGUCGAAGGCUACGUUUGUCUAUCCGGGGGAUACGAAGGACUAACGAGUGUGAGGGAAAGCCUGUUAAACACACACGGAAAGGAAGAAGAAGGAACGCAGUGGCUCGCCGGUGUAGACUCGCAACAGAGAAGAGCGCGCGUCUCGCUGCCAGUCAACCAGUCGGCCAUUCAGUCAGUCAGUCGAUCAUUCAGUCAGUGCCGGUUCUACACUCCGAACGUUUUCUUCUCUCUGUCUGUUUAUAUUCAGUCCCGAGUUCCUCAAUGGUGGCUGUCUCGAUGUGUUUUGCUGGCAACCAACGAUAAUCCUUUGUCUGUAAGUGAAACGAGAAACGGGAACACGAAGAGAACCGAUCGAAAACUUGGAUCCUAUUGGUGGUGUUGUACGAUUUUUGUGUUCCAUCGUUGAAGACACAAAUACGCACGAAGUACACGAUAUCCCUGGCCAAAAGCUCGGAAGGAAAAUGUGCCGCCAACGGACACGGCCAGUGAAUUGAUAAAUUUCAUACGUGAUGAUUUUCUUACGUUAGCAAUUCGUUGAUUGUUGGUGAUGAUUGUGCUGGUUCGCUAUGUACACGCCUUCACGUCGUGAGCGUCGUCGUUAAAAAAAAGGAGGAAGGAGGAGGGAGCCUUUUCCGCCGAUUCAAACGUCCAUCCUUAAACAUCUCUCGUCGUGUCUUUCUUCCCUUGGUCCACGUAUAGUCACAAGAGGAGAGAUCGAGGCGGGUAAAUAGGCGAAGCGAGGGCGAUCGAAGCAAAAGGGACGAUCGAGGAGGAGGAGGAGGAGGAGGAGGAGGAGGAGGAGGAAGUGGAGAUAACAAGGGCAUGAUAAGCAAGGACACGGGCGUUGGACGAAUAUCAGGUGACACGGUAGACGGUAUUCAAGAAAGGUUGAGCGUCCAGGAAGGAAGGAGGAAGGUGUAUCGACAGAUUCGCCGUCUUGUCUCACGGCAACGGAUGUCGGAAUGACGCGUCGAUCAAGCCGUGGCUGGGCAGAGGGUGCAAGGACUUCGUUAAACGGAAGAAAGUGAUAGUCGUGGCUCGCUUCGGAGGAGGCGGAGAGGCGGAGUUCGUUGGAGAAGGGAGAGGAAGAAGAAGGAAGCGUCGGAGAUCGUCGAACUUAUUAGGUAACAAGAUAAGAAGCGAUUGUGGGCUCAUUGUCUCGUCACUCUCCAGCAACGGCGACGGAUAACGUCCUCUCGUCGUUAUCAUGAUGUUAUCGUUAUGAGAUUCAUCGUAUUUCCUUAUACCUGACAGUCAAGAAUACUGUUCGAUUACUUCUUCGAACGGACGAGAGGAGAAUAAAAUAGAAGGGAUCUCGAGCGGACCAAGUAAAAAAAAAAAAAAAAAAAAUCACGAAAAUCACUAUAUAAGAGGACACAGAAAAAGGAAAAAGAAACGAGACUACCAAAGAAUUUGAUUCGGGGAGGAAGAGGGGUCAAAGUUAACUGACCGAAAGCACACAGUAGCAAAGGAAACAGUGAUCUCGUUUAACCUUGAAGAGGAGAAAGAAGAGAGAGAAAGAGCAUCGUAAAUCGUAGAACGUAAUCGCGCAAGGACAGGCACACGACUGUCCGUGUGGCUGUUGCGUUGGAAGGGUGCCGAUAAAAGAAUAGAGGGGUGCGUGGUGAAACGCGACGAGAGGGUGAAGUGAAGGUGUCCUCGUGGGGUGCCAGAGUGAGCACGAUAGCACCUCUGGUGCCCUCGGCCGUGGGUCCCGAGGGGACGGACGCCAUGGCGGCCUCUUCGUCCUCGUCGAGCGGCGAGCAACAGUACUCACUCAGGUGGAACGACUUCCACUCGAGCAUCCUCAGCUCAUUUCGUCAUCUCAGGGACGAGGAGGAUUUCGUGGACGUGACCCUGGCAUGCGACAGUAGCAGCUUCACCGCGCACAAGGUCGUUCUCUCUGCGUGUAGUCCUUACUUCCGCCGCCUCCUCAAGGCCAAUCCAUGCCAGCAUCCGAUCGUGAUCCUGAGGGACGUCGCCUCGUCGGACAUGGAGUCGUUGCUGCGCUUCAUGUACCACGGAGAGGUGCACGUAGGUCAGGAACAGCUCGCCGCGUUCCUAAAGACGGCGCAGAUGCUUCAGGUUCGAGGGUUGGCCGAUGUGAACAGCGGCGCUGCCAAAAUUCCUCCUCCCUCGUCCUCCGGCGGGAACAAUGGCAGUGCGCCGGCGACACCGCGCAAUCCUUGGCAAGACAACGGCAGAGGAGAGUUGAACGAGAGCGGUCUGAGCCCACCACCAGAGAAGAGACCUAGAAGCUAUAGCCCACCGUUGGGUAACCACGUGGAGCCCAAGACCGACCUUCAAGAAUCGCUUUUGGGCCAGGCAUUGGCGGAGGGACCUACGAUACACACGACACCCACGAACAACGUUCAGGCGCAAUCUACCGGCGAGGACUCGAAUUCCAUGUCGGACAACGAGGAGGAGAUGUCGAAUAACGACAGCAUCCUGAACUCGGUGAAGACCGAGCCAAGCGACAUCCUGAAUGAUUCUAUGGAACAUCACCGUAAUUCGUUUCCGGCGCUCUUGGGAAUACCAGGACUGAUACCAGGACCGUCCGGGAUCCACGCGGCGAAUCAGGAUCCGAAUUACGGGCGAUGGCAGCCCUCUGGAGGAGACGGUUCAAGCUCGAGUUCCGGUUGGUUGCCGGGUACGUCCUCCACGAGGAACGAGCACGCCGGGUCUGGAACUUACCAGAGCGGAGUUCACAACUCGAAAGGUCAGGAUCUGUCGUCUCUGCUCCAGCAGCAUCACCAUCACCAUCACCUCCACGCCACCAGCCAAGCGUCGCAGCAACACGCCCUAAAUGCCCUGAACUCGCUCAACUCCCUGAAUACCGAGCAGCUGUCGAUCAUGCAUCAAAAGUUGCAGAACAAUCUGCAAACGUUGCAGCAACAACAACAAACAGCGUCCGCGAAAAACGAACUGAAUCUGAUGCUUCAAUCGUGCGCCAAGGAGAAGAUUCAAGAGAGUAUGGCGUUGUUCCAUCAACAGACCCAUCAACAGCGUCGGUUCCACCAGCAGACCGACAACGCGAGCCAAUCCGGUAAACCGAAGUGUCCGGAGUGCGGGAAAAUCUAUUCGAACAAUUCGAACCUGAAGCAGCACAUCGUGAACGUGCACACGGUUCAAACGGAGUACGUCUCGUGUCACGUGUGCAGCAAGCAGUUCAAGACGAAACAAUACCUCCAGAUACAUCUGUUGUCGAUGCACGGUAUCCGGAAACGGAAGAGCUACCCGUUGUAUCAGAUGCAGACACAGAUGCAACAACAGCAGCAGCAGCAAUCGUCGGGCGGCCAAGUGUCCGGCGGUCAGCAGCAAUCGCAACAGCAAUAUCCGGCUCCGGAGAGAUGGUCCGGAGGAGAGGACAAACAGUGAUCGAAACGCGUGUCUCGUGUAUCGUUGAUCGAUCGAAGAACCACGCCAGAGACACGUGUGCCUCCCUUGGACCACGUAUAUAGGGGUGAAAAAGGGAAUAGAGAGGGUCGAUGAGAGUGGAUGCUGGUAAUCUGUAUAGUUGGCCCUGGAGGAACUCUGAUAGAUAGCUCGGAAUUAUUUGGGAUUAAGACAACUACGACCUCGCAAUAAUCUUUGUAGUAGAUUUUAUUGUACAUACGCGAAUCGAAAACGUGCGUAUAGGGAAAUCACGGGCUCGAUGAGGCAGAGGGCGCGGCUUACCACCACCACCACAGCCAUCACCAGCAACAUCAUCGGCAUCGUCAU